AUACGGAGGGUGCAAGCGUUGUUCGGGAUUAUUGGGCGUAAAGAGCAUGUAGGCGGACUGUUAAGUCUGGUGUGAAAGCCCGGGGCUCAACCCCGGAAGUGCAUUGGAUACUGGCAGUCUUGAGUAUGGGAGAGGAAAGUGGAAUUCCGAGUGUAGGAGUGAAAUCCGUAGAUAUUCGGAGGAACACCAGUGGCGAAGGCGGCUUUCUGGACCAAUACUGACGCUGAGAUGCGAAAGCGUGGGGAGCGAACAGGAUUAGAAACCCCAGUAGUCC
rnacentral:rRNA from 1 species